rnacentral:rRNA from 1 species
UACAGGGGGGGCAAGCGUUGUUCGGAAUUACUGGGCGUAAAGGGCUCGUAGGUGGCCAACUAAGUCGGACGUGAAAUCCCCUCAGCUUAACUGGGGAACUGCGUCCGAUACUGGAUGGCUUGAGUUUGGGAGAGGGAUGCGGAAUUCCAGGUGUAGCGGUGAAAUGCGUAGAUAUCUGGAGGAACACCGGUGGCGAAGGCGGCAUCCUGGACCAACACUGACACUGAGGAGCGAAAGCCAGGGGAGCAAACGGG